rnacentral:rRNA from 1 species
AUGGACUUCGGCGACGACCUCGUGCCGGGCUCCGACGCCCACCGCCGCAAGAAGCGCUACCACCGCCACACCCCGCGCCAGAUUCAGCAGCUCGAGGCGAUGUUCAAGGAGUGCCCGCACCCGGACGAGAACCAGCGGAUGCACCUCAGUCGGGAGUUGGGGCUGGAGCCGAGGCAGAUCAAGUUCUGGUUCCAGAACCGCCGGACUCAGAUGAAGGCGCAGCACGAGCGCGCCGACAACUGCUUCCUCCGCGCGGAGAACGACAAGAUCCGCUGCGAGAACAUCGCUAUGCGCGAGGCGCUCAAGAACGUCAUCUGCCCCACCUGCGGCGGCCCGCACUCCGGCGCCGACGACUACUUCGACGAGCGCAAGCUCCGGAUGGAGAACGCACACCUCAAAGAAGAGCUUGACCGGGUGUCCAGCCUGACGUCCAAGUACCUGGGGCGGCCCAUCACGCAGCUCCCGUCGAUGCAGCCGCUCUCCAUGUCGUCGCUGGAGCUCUCCGUCGGCGGGCUCGGCAGCCCGGUGGCGCUCGGCCCCGCGCUGGACCUGGACCCGCUCGGCGGGAGUUCCCCGUUCCAGCUCCCGGCGCCCGUGUCCGAGAUGGAGCGGCCGAUGAUGGCCGAGAUGGCGACGCGGGCCAUGGACGAGUUCAUCAGGCUGGCGCAAGCCGGCGAGCACCUCUGGGUCAAGGCGGCGGGUGGCCGGGAGGUGCUCAACGUCGACACGUACGAUAGCAUCUUCGCCAAGCCCGGGAGCAGCUCCUUCCGCGGCCCGGACGUGCACGUCGAGGGCUCCCGCGACUCGUGCCUCGUGCUCACCAGCGCCAUCGCCCUUGUCGACACGUUCAUGGACUCGAGCAAGUGGACGGAGUUCUUCCCGACCAUCGUAACCAGAGCGCGCACGAUCGACGUUCUCGUGAACGGCAUGGCCGGCCGGAGCGAGUCUUUGGUGCUGGUAAGACCAGACCACCGCCGACUCCAUUUUGCACGCAUGUACGAGGAGCUGCACGUGAUGUCGCCGGUCGUCCCGACGCGCGAGUUUUGCUUCCUCCGCUACUGCCGGCAGAUCGAGCAGGGCCUGUGGGCGAUCGCCGACGUCUCCGUGGACUUGCAGCGGGACGCACGCUACGGCGCACCGCCGGCCCGCUCGCGCCGGCUCCCAUCGGGCUGCCUCAUCGCCGAUAUGUCCAAUGGCUACUCCAAGGUGACCUGGGUCGAACACAUGGAGACGGAGGACAAGACCCCCAUCAACCAGCUCUACCGCGACCUCGUCCUGAUCGGGGCGGCGUUUGGGGCGCACCGGUGGCUGGCAGCGCUGCAGAGGGCGUGCGAACGGCACGCGUGCCUCGUGACGCCGCCGCACAGGGACAUCGCCGGGGUGACGUUAGAGGGCAAGAGGAGCAUGAUGAGGCUGUCGCAGCGGAUGGUGGGCAGCUUCUGCGCCAGCCUGAGCGCGUCGCAGCAGCACCGGUGGACGACGCUGUCGGGGCCGGGCGCGGGCGUGGACGAUGCGGCCGGCGUGCGCGUCAUGGUGCACCGCAGCACGGACCCCAGGCAGCCCAGCGGCGUGGUGCUCAGCGCCGCCACCUCCAUCUGGCUCCCCGUGUCAUGCGACCGGGUGUUCGCCUUCGUGCGCGACGAGAACACGCGCUCCCAGUGGGACGUGCUCUCGCACGGCAACCCGGUGCAGGAGGUGUCCCGCAUCCCCAACGGCUCGCACCCGGGGAACUCCAUCUCCUUGCUCAGAGGCCUGAACGCGAGCCAGAACAGCAUGCUGAUCCUGCAGGAGAGCUGCGCGGACGCGUCGGGGUCGCUGGUGGUGUACGCGCCGAUCGACCUCCCGGCGGCGAACGUGGUGAUGAGCGGCGAGGACCCGUCGUCUAUCCCGCUGCUGCCGUCCGGGUUCACCAUCCUGCCCGACGGCCGCGCGUCCAGCAGCACGGGGUCGGUGGUGACGGUGGCGUUCCAGAUCCUGGUGAGCAGCCUGCCAUCGUCGCGGCUGAACGCAGAAUCAGUGGCCACGGUCAACAGCCUCAUCGGCACCACUGUGGAGCAAAUCAAGGCGGCCCUGAACUGCGGCAGCAGCCAUUGA